rnacentral:rRNA from 1 species
UACAGAGGUCUCAAGCGUUGUUCGGAUUCAUUGGGCGUAAAGGGUGCGUAGGUGGCGCCGUAAGUCGGGUGUGAAAUUUCGGAGCUUAACUCCGAAACUGCAUUCGAUACUGCGGUGCUUGAGGACUGGAGAGGAGACUGGAAUUCAUGGUGUAGCAGUGAAAUGCGUAGAGAUCAUGAGGAAGACCAGUGGCGAAGGCGGGUCUCUGGACAGUUCCUGACACUGAGGCACGAAGGCCAGGGGGAGCAAACAGG